GACGAACGCUGGCGGCGUGCUUAACACAUGCAAGUCGAACGAUGAUCAGGAGCUUGCUCCUGUGAUUAGUGGCGAACGGGUGAGUAACACGUGAGUAACCUGCCCCUGACUCUGGGAUAAGCGUUGGAAACGACGUCUAAUACUGGAUACGACUGCCGGCCGCAUGGUCUGGGGGUGGAAAGAUUUUUUGGUUGGGGAUGGACUCGCGGCCUAUCAGCUUGUUGGUGAGGUAAUGGCUCACCAAGGCGACGACGGGUAGCCGGCCUGAGAGGGUGACCGGCCACACUGGGACUGAGACACGGCCCAGACUCCUACGGGAGGCAGCAGUGGGGAAUAUUGCACAAUGGGCGAAAGCCUGAUGCAGCAACGCCGCGUGAGGGAUGACGGCCUUCGGGUUGUAAACCUCUUUUAGUAGGGAAGAAGCGAAAGUGACGGUACCUGCAGAAAAAGCACCGGCUAACUACGUGCCAGCCGCCGCCGUAA
rnacentral:rRNA from 1 species